AGGACUCCCUGAGGGGGAACACCAGGACCCUGAUGGUGGCAUGAGUGUCCCCAGCUGAUGACAGCUACGAGGAAAGCCUCAGCACCCUGUGCUAUGCAAGUCGGGCCAGGAACAUCAGGAACAAGCCCUGCAUCAACCAGGACCCCAAGGACGCCCUGCUGAGGGAGUACCAGGAGGAGAUUGAGAAGCUGAAGGCUGUUCUGGCUGAACAGAUGGGCACGAGUGACUUGUCAGGGCUUCUACCUGCUGAGGCUGCUCACCUGGAGCAAAUCCAGCUCCCUGCCUCAAUCCCCAGGUGGAUCUGGAAGAAGAGAAGCAGCUGAUCAGAGCACUGACACAUGGACUAGAACAAUCUCUGACCACACACCUUCACAUGAAGAUGCUGUUGCUGCAGCACAUGAAGAGCCAACAUCAGCCCAGGCUCCUUCUCCCCUCAGGAUGAAUAACCCUGAGAAUUUGUGGGCAAUUCUGUCUGUUAAGGGAGAGAUCUCCAAAGAAACCCUUCAUUUGGAUUUGAUAUCAACAUUACCUGAGUGGGUAAUGUUGUGCUUCAUCUCCCCCAAUAAUCCUGUUUCAGGGGCACUGAAAUAGGGCUGGGAUAUGAGGGAUGCAGGCUUGGACUUGUGCUCAGCCCAAAUCAAAAUCAACCUGGCUCAAGGUUUUCUCUGUGUGAGAGAAUUCCCUCAGCCAGAGCACACCACCACUUAUUGGGGCAGCAUGGGGGCUUGGGCUGCUCCAGAAAUACAGGAUUGAAGCAAAUUCUGAUUUUUCACUUCCUCCAUUGUGUGGAACUAGAUACAAUUAGAAAAGCUCAAGCCAAGAUGUGCUGUGACAGUCUGAUUCUGAACAGUUCUGUGGGUUUUAAGCUGUCCUUCUGUGGGUUUUAACCAGUCCUUCUGUGGGUUUUAACCUGUUCUUCUGUGGGUUUUAACCAGUCUUUCAGCUUCCCUGUGGUGUGUGCUCACUCUGUUGGGUCUCUCCUGGCUCAAAAAGGAGCUGCUAUGAAAUGCAGAACAGCAGUGCCUGUAAUUUGUGGGUAAUUCUGUCUGUUAAGGGAGAGAUCUCCAAAGAAACCCUUCAUUUGGAUUAGAUAUCAAAUGUUAGUGCUCCUAUUGUAAAAAUAAAUCCUUUUGUGGCAAACA
rnacentral:lncRNA from 1 species